AUUGAACGCUGGCGGCAGGCCUAACACAUGCAAGUCGAGCGGAUGAAGGGAGCUUGCUCCUGGAUUCAGCGGCGGACGGGUGAGUAAUGCCUAGGAAUCUGCCUGGUAGUGGGGGAUAACGUCCGGAAACGGGCGCUAAUACCGCAUACGUCCUGAGGGAGAAAGUGGGGGAUCUUCGGACCUCACGCUAUCAGAUGAGCCUAGGUCGGAUUAGCUAGUUGGUGGGGUAAAGGCCUACCAAGGCGACGAUCCGUAACUGGUCUGAGAGGAUGAUCAGUCACACUGGAACUGAGACACGGUCCAGACUCCUACGGGAGGCAGCAGUGGGGAAUAUUGGUCAAUGGGCGAAAGCCUGAUCCAGCUAUGCCGCGUGUGUGAAGAAGGUCUUCGGAUUGUAAAGCACUUUAAGUUGGGAGGAAGGGCAGUAAGUUAAUACCUUGCUGUUUUGACGUUACCAACAGAAUAAGCACCGGCUAACUUCGUG
rnacentral:rRNA from 1 species